AGAAUCUUCCUGAUUUUUGAUCCGUUUUUCUGUGUGAGGCGCCGGCGGCAGCGAUACCCCCGCAUUAAAGUUUGGGGGGGUUCUUGUCCCCUUUAAAGACACCCCACCAAGAUUGUCCUCCUCCUCCUUCAGCCUCUAGAAAAGCCCCACAGAAAAAAACGCUUAAGCGUGGAGUGCUUCUUGCCUACAGGCUCCUCGUGGCCCGCGUUGGCACUGAUUCUUGGGCCUGCUGGAACAGGGUGCACAUCCCUGCCCUGUAACCCCAGCUCUGAGCCAACAGCUGAGACUGCUCCCAUCAUUUUGGGAGUUCCCACAAUUUGUCUUCGAGGAAAGGUGAUUCACCUGGAGAAGAACAGCCCAAGACCUUGGAAGCCUCUGGGUGAGAGCUCCAGCCACAGGUCUGGGAGAUUGUGCUUGCCCACGCAGUUGCCCCUGGUGUGGGAAGGGUCUCUUCUAAGCUGGUAGGACAGGUGCCUGGGGACAGUCCCCUCUACCAGCAGCACAAGGUUUAUAGCCCGGGGCCUGAACUCUCCACAGAUGGACCCUCUCCUUGUCUCCUUGUGUUGUGCCACUGUGUCAGAGCCAGGGGAUGCUGCUACCAGAGCGUUUGAUCCCAGAAAAAAUGGUGUUUUCAAACACAGGCAGAAGUGGCAGUAUGUUGUAGCAGGCCAUCUCUUAGUAGACUAAAUGACAAAGAUGCCCUUAACCUACCAGCUGGCGAUGGCAUCAUCCCUAGGUGGUUCCGCGCCACAAACCUGAAUAAGCAUCUCAAAAAGGAAAGCAGGUGUGUGUUUGUGUAUGUAGGUCUUGUUUCCUCUCCUUGAGGAACACAGUCCUCACUGACAGCAAAACCAGAUUGUCCUACACACUGAGGGAAACUACCUUCUCAAAGGGAAAGGAGCUUGAAGGUUUGCUAAGCAUUUUGAGAGUCUUUGGUAGAAGAUGACACUGAAAUAUCAAGUAUUAUUGUUAAAUUUUAUAGCUCUGAACUAUUAUUGGGCCAUAUGCUAGAGAUUUUACUCAAAUAGGUUUUCAAACAUGAAUGUGUGGAAAUCAAACUGAACAUUUUGACAUUAAAGACCUUAGGUAUUUUGGCUUGCUUUUUGGAAACACUGAACUCCUUGCAAGGUAAGGCCUCCAGAGACUUUAAAAAGGCCAAAAAAAAAAUCACUUUAGAAGCUUUCAAUCCCUGAUCAUGAGGUCUGAUCUGUUGUAAUUGUAUCUGGUUUUUACCUGCUGUUUUCUCCAAAUAGCUAAUUCAGUCACAAACAGUUCUUAGCUGUCAGCAGUAGCCUCAGCUCAAGAGCAGAAUCUGCUAUUGGGGUUAUUCAUAUGAAUCCACACAGCCAAUGACCUUUGAGGUAAGCAGAUAACCAGUAAAAUUAAAUAGUAACAAAAAUUAUUAUGAACCCAUAUAUGAAUGCAAUGAUUUUUUUUCCCAAUAUUUACUGAAUAACUUGCCUGGGAAAUGGGUCUUAGUUUGGCUCUCAUGGCUGAUUCUAAGCCUCCUCUUACCAAUACCCCUGGGACUCUCUGGUUAAUUUUGUGGCACAAAAUAUUUAAUUAUGUGCUCUGCCAAGUGAAUACAAGGUCUUAAAUUGAAUUUCAGCCUCCCUGGGCAACUAUUUUAGACACUUUGGUAGAAUGUAAAUGCAUAUUUUCUGCAUGCCGGAUCCUGGCCCCUUAUCCAUCAAAGUAAAUCUUCAGUAGUUCCACUGAAGGCUUGGAACAAUCCUAAGUUAUGUUAUUGAGGUCAGAUUGUGACCCUGAAGCUCUGGCAGAGACCCAAACCAAGAAAUUUGUGUGGGAAAUUGGGGAGGGAAUAAAUUAGCACUUGCCUGUGCUUUUUGAGAGAGUAAACUGUUACAAAGGUAUCAGCGAAGAUGAAAGCUCCGAGUCGUGGUGGAUAUUGCUUUCCAGCUGUUUCUGCUGGAAAUAGCUCUGUAUUUAUGGGAUUGGUCCUUAUUUUCUGAUGGUGCUCUAUCAAAUAACAACCGGUUUUACUUCCCCUGACUGUCCGUGUUCCCUCACUCCCUCCAAAAAAGAAUAAAAAAAUCACUUAAUCUUGUGAAAAGAAAACGCAGGAGUAGGCUCUAGUUUGGGGGGGUUUUGCUCUGGUGAAUUUAAACCUUCGUUUUUUCUCUCUGGCAAAAAAAAAAAGCGGCAGGUCUAAAUAGUAUUAGGUAAUUGUGGUUGUCAUACUGCACAUUGUACAGUGGAAAAAAUUAAUUGCUGUUUUUUUGCCCGAGGGUUUAAGCAGCGGUCCCUCUGUCUGACUGGGAGCAUGUCAUUUGCCCUCCCGAUUGAGCCCGUGUUCUGUGGAGCAGCAUGAAAGGAUUCCUGUACAGCUGCACCGGGUGUGUUAGAUGGGAGAUAAAUGAAUCUGCUCCAUCUUCAAAUGCUGGUGCCAGAGAAAAGACCUCACCUGAAAUGCUGCUCUGUCUGAUGUGGAGAAUUUUGAUCUAAAUUUCUCCUGCGGAUCUGGUUGUCUCACCAGGAGCAAAACCUGAGGGAAAACUGCCCUGCUUUGUUUUUGAGGGUUCUAGUUUGACUGGUGAAAGUAACAUGUUUUCUACCCAUGGGGAACAGAAGAAGCUAUCACACGGUUCAUCUUUGGUACUCGGACCCUCCAGCCAAAUUCUUGGCUGAGGGUUAAUUUAACUGCAUCAUCUCCCUUAUGGUGAUGUGAAGGUGAGAUGGGAAAGGAGAGGAUAAAAAAAAAGCACGUGGAGCCAUUUUUGCCACGAGAAGAAAGACACCUCGCCUGAUGAAGCUGAUGUUGCGCUGCAGCUGGAAGCUGACAUGAGACUGAAGUGUCACAUCCUUCGCCGUGGAAUAUUUGGCUCCGGCUGUUCCUUCUCGGGGUGGAUUUGGGAGGCUGCACCUGUGUGCGUCGGGGCAGCGGCAGCCCGGGAGGAUUCCCUGCCAUAACAUUUGUCUGUGAAACAGAUACUUUCUCCCUGAGGAAACGGGCUUAUGUCAACAAAAAUGGAAACUUCAAAAAAAUUUACAUAUACUGAUUAGCUACUCUUUGUUGGGGCAAAGGAGCUUGAGAGGCUUGGACUACGUGGACUCUCUUGUUGUUUUUUACUGAAAGUCUGCCAGUGGAUGAUGGUUUUGAGAAAGAGCAGUGCCUGUUUGCAUCCAUGCGGAGGUUUGGACAGCCGCGUGAUGGCCCCGGUGGAGAUGGAUGGGUGAGCAGAGAGCAGAGGUUUGACAAGCACCAAUUCACUGACAUUCCUUGUGAGCUAAAAGGCUUCUCGAGGCAACUCCAAGCACAUGCAUCUGGUUGCUGUGCACAGCUCAACAUCAGAUUUGGAUAAGUGGGAAGGAGGAGGAGAGAAAGAAGCAGCCAUGAAACUCUUCUGGAAAGAGACACAAUGCCACGGUGGGACACGUGUUGCCUCCGUGAGAGGCAGGGGAGCUUCUUACUCACCAUAGCGUGAUUUAACCAGAGCGGGAUGACUCCAUCAAGGCUUUUGGGGUAAACCAGCUCUCGAUUGUAGGCAUACAGUGUCCAAAAGGAUAUACAGACAAACUGGAACCAAAAUACAAAAUGGAAGACAUUUCAAAAUAAACGACAGACAUAACUGAUGGGAUUUGGCUAAUGCUUUCAUUUCUAAGAAGGAAAAACAUUUCCUACAUGAAAAAUGGUGAUAUUGCCAGAUAAACUCACGUAUCUCAUGUUACAACAUAAAGAAAGAUGGGAUCUUUUGAUGGUCCAGAAGUUCUUCUAGAGGGAUUGGUUGUCAAGCUAUAGCAUUUGUUCUGCUCAGUAACAAAGUAAAAACAGAUCUUGAGGUUACUUACUGUGGACACUGGGAAAGCCAGGACACUGAAAAGAAGGUCUCUGCUGGAAAUUACGCACUUAGCACAUCGCAGUUUCUUAAUUAGUCUCAACACAUCAGCCAGGAAGGACACCCCAUAGAAGACAGCCUGCAAAAGCUAAAGUAAUUACACCUAAUGAGGGAAACUCAUCCAGCUUUAAUUAGCACGUUCCUCAAUGAACUCUGUUCCUGCUCUUCAGGGAGCUGUUUUGUUCGUGAGCUGCAAGCCUGUGUGAGGGAAAUAGCU